AUGGCCCUCACAGCUGAUAAGCAGGAACCUUAUAGCUGGGACCACCAGUUUCUUUGGCAGAGGUGGGAGAGUUCAGCUGCAGAAGCUCAUAAAAGUCUUUUGCUGGCAUGGAGUACCCAAGAAAUUUACUCAUUGUUGCUGAGAAGGACCAGGCUUGUGGAUUGGUUCAAGAGGAGAAGUGAUUGAUGGGAUUGGACUUCUCUACCUUUCAAGAAAGCUGUUUCUGAGGAAUGGAUGCUGGUCUGUUCUCCUGUAGAAACCUCUAGAAGAAUGUUCACUUAGGUAUAAUGCAGCUAAAUACCAG